rnacentral:lncRNA from 1 species
UCCGUAUGAGUGCUAGCUCGUGCAGUCGACUUUUGAUGGUAGAUCUGACUUGAUCUCCUUCUUCAAUCAUCUCAAAUCUUUUUGAUAUCGAAGAUGGAUCAGAGAAGGAUGCUAGAUGGUGGAGAAAAUUUAGAUGAAGACUCUCUUCUCUUUGGUUUUUUCCUCAUCCAAAAAUCUAGAAUAGUUCUAGGUCUCUCACCCAAGAGGAGGACGGUCUCCUCUUUUGUUCAUGCCA